rnacentral:rRNA from 1 species
GAUCCUGGCUCAGGAUGAACGCUGGCGGCGUGCCUAACACAUGCAAGUCGAACGGAGCUGCUUUGAUGAGAUCUUCGGAUGGAUUUAAAACAGCUUAGUGGCGGACGGGUGAGUAACGCGUGGGUAACCUGCCUCACACUGGGGGAUAACAGUUAGAAAUAGCUGCUAAUACCGCAUAAGCGCACGGUUCCGCAUGGAACAGUGUGAAAACUACCGGUGGUGUGAGAUGGACCCGCG